UUUAGGACGUUCGCGAAGUCCGAGCUUCACCAAUCGCUAAUCUGACCUUUUUUUGCGCGGUUGCCGGUUGCCUCUGUGCGCACGAAGCAGAUAGGGUUAGGAAAUCACUACAGUGACGAUGUACAAUUCAAAGAGUUGAGGAAAGAGUUCGAGGAGUCGAGGAAGAUUCUCGAAAAUGUGAGCAAGAACCUCAACAAGUUUUUGGAAAAAGUGGACGAAUUGCUGAAGACACAGGAAAGGUUGUCGAAUGAAAUUCUUCAAGACGACAAUAACUUCAACACCACACCUGAACUCUUGAAGCUCUAUAAGUCAGCAUCAGAUCUACAGAUGCGCGAAAGGGAUGCACUGAAUCAUCAUGUGCGCACCAUAUGUUUGGAUCCAUUGAACAAGUAUAAGGCACAGUAUCGAGAGAUACAAGAGCGCCUUCACGAGCACAAACGACUUGGGGAAGAAGUGGAAAAGUUGGGGUCAGAACAUCGAAAUGCGAAAAAAAAGAAUUCCGCACUUGCAGCUGGAAUUGAAAGGCGGCUCGGUGCCUCUAAACAGCAUCAUGGUGAACUGCAUGAGGAGCUGUGUCAAGAUAUCCAUGCAUUGAUUAGUGACCGAAACAAGUUUUUAGAGCCGAUCAUGGCAAUUCUAUUUAAUAUACAGCUAAGGUUCUAUCAAGGCGAACAUCAGGCAUUUUUGCAAUUUGCUAAUCAAGUUCCGAAUGUCCAGCCCGACGUCCUGCAAAACUACCCACGUGUAAUCAGACCCAGAAAAGAUAGCGUCUUAUCUAAAGGCUAUGCGGCAAAAGCUGCGCAAACAUCACAACCAGCAGCGGCUCCUGCGGUACCGAACGCGCAAUUUGGUACUCAUUAUGCCGCCUACCCGGUGGCUGCCCAGGUAAACCCUCAGACUAACAUGGGCUAUUCGGUAGCUGCCCAGGUAAACCCUCAGACUAACAUGGGGGGAUAUCCGACGAGUGGCCAGACGAACCCUCAGACUAAUAUGGGAUAUCCGACGAGUGGCCAGACGAACCCUCAGACUAAUAUGGGGUAUCCGAUGGCUGGCCAGAUGAACUAUCCGACUAAUACAGGACAUCCGGCGGCUGGCCAGAUGAACCCUAUGAAUAACGCACAAUACUACACCCCUUCUCCUCCUGCAUACAGAAUGCAAGGCAUAUGGAAUUUUGACGCGCAGGAUCCCCUCGCAGCUGUCAUUCAAAGCUGGUGAUCAAAUGACUAUUAUUGCUCAACUUGAUGCUAACUGGUGGUUUGCGGAGAUGAAUGGGGCCCGAGGGUAUAUUCCGUCUAAAUAUGUCACUCCAGUUUGAGAGUUAUAAAUCAACCCUUUUUACAACUUAUCGAUAAAUCGGUACAUUCGAACUAAAGUAACCGUGUACGCGAAAUAAUCUACUUCACGUUUGUAACUGUUGCUUUGACUCACCUGACGAUUUUUUAUGGUUGGGAGUACCAAUAUUUCAUUCUUUUGCUCGCUCCUAGUUCAGGGAUUCGUCGUUAACAGUAAUUCUAAGAUAUUAUGAGCGAUACGAGCGGGACCAGCGCGUCUGGGUCGCAGGAUGGGACGUCGGGCGAGAACCGCCUGCCAAGUCAUCUGAACUCUCUUAAGUCAUAUCCGCAAAAACCAUUAUCGCGCGAAAAGUAUGGACACAACUUUCAUAGCCUCCUCGAUUCCCCUACGGACCCAGUGAGUGUAGAAGCGGAAAUUCAACGGCUGGAGCACCACUUAGAAGUGUCGCAACGAACAUCAACGUACAGUUCGAUUCGAAAAAGUUUGUCUCUCAAGCAGGUCAACCCGAGGGCAGUUUGAAAGUAUGCAUGCGUGCAGAAUAAAAAUUCGACAGAUCUCUCUCGUCAACACACAGUUAGCGUAGAACCUGCUGUUUUUUCUUGAUUUGUUUUUGGUUUUUGAGGAGCGUUGAAACGUCGUCGGCUGGAGAGAGAUCUCGAAUGUGUUUCAUAGGACUGACCGGACGGAGGUGCUGGGAAUUUUUUCCUACGCUCUGUGAAGUCGGACGAAGGAUGCUUUGUGGGUGGAUGAAAUUGCCGGCGUACAAUUUGUAUGCAAAAUAAUGUAUACAGCAUAUAUGUGUGUG